rnacentral:tRNA from 1 species
ACCUGACAGCCUUAAUUGGUAGAGCAUGCGACUCUUGAUCUUGAAGUCAUGAGUUCAAGCCCCAUGUUAGGUA